rnacentral:rRNA from 1 species
GAUGAACGCUGGCGGCGUGCCUAAUACAUGCAAGUCGAGCGAACGGACGAGAAGCUUGCUUCUCUGAUGUUAGCGGCGGACGGGUGAGUAACACGUGGAUAACCUACCUAUAAGACUGGGAUAACUUCGGGAAACCGGAGCUAAUACCGGAUGAUAUUUUGAACCGCAUGGUUCAAAAGUGAAAGACGGUCUUGCUGUCACUUAUAGAUGGAUCCGCGCUGCAUUAGCUAGUUGGUAAGGUAACGGCUUACCAAGGCAACGAUGCAUAGCCGACCUGAGAGGGUGAUCGGCCACACUGGAACUGAGACACGGUCCAGACUCCUACGGGAGGCAGCAGUAGGGAAUCUUCCGCAAUGGGCGAAAGCCUGACGGAGCAACGCCGCGUGAGUGAUGAAGGUCUUCGGAUCGUAAAACUCUGUUAUUAGGGAAGAACAUAUGUGUAAGUAACUGUGCACAUCUUGACGGUACCUAAUCAGAAAGCCACGGCUAACUACGUGCCAGCAGCCGCGGUAAUACGUAGGUGGCAAGCGUUAUCCGGAAUUAUUGGGCGUAAAGCGCGCGUAGGCGGUUUUUUAAGUCUGAUGUGAAAGCCCACGGCUCAACCGUGGAGGGUCAUUGGAAACUGGAAAACUUGAGUGCAGAAGAGGAAAGUGGAAUUCCAUGUGUAGCGGUGAAAUGCGCAGAGAUAUGGAGGAACACCAGUGGCGAAGGCGACUUUCUGGUCUGUAACUGACGCUGAUGUGCGAAAGCGUGGGGAUCAAACAGGAUUAGAUACCCUGGUAGUCCACGCCGUAAACGAUGAGUGCUAAGUGUUAGGGGGUUUCCGCCCCUUAGUGCUGCAGCUAACGCAUUAAGCACUCCGCCUGGGGAGUACGACCGCAAGGUUGAAACUCAAAGGAAUUGACGGGGACCCGCACAAGCGGUGGAGCAUGUGGUUUAAUUCGAAGCAACGCGAAGAACCUUACCAAAUCUUGACAUCCUUUGACAACUCUAGAGAUAGAGCCUUCCCCUUCGGGGGACAAAGUGACAGGUGGUGCAUGGUUGUCGUCAGCUCGUGUCGUGAGAUGUUGGGUUAAGUCCCGCAACGAGCGCAACCCUUAAGCUUAGUUGCCAUCAUUAAGUUGGGCACUCUAAGUUGACUGCCGGUGACAAACCGGAGGAAGGUGGGGAUGACGUCAAAUCAUCGUGCCCCUUAUGAUUUGGGCUACACACGUGCUACAAUGGACAAUACAAAGGGCAGCGAAACCGCGAGGUCAAGCAAAUCCCAUAAAGUUGUUCUCAGUUCGGAUUGUAGUCUGCAACUCGACUACAUGAAGCUGGAAUCGCUAGUAAUCGUAGAUCAGCAUGCUACGGUGAAUACGUUCCCGGGUCU